CCGCGGCUCGUCGCCCGGUCCUCCGGCUGGCGGAGGCCCAAGGCCUGGCUGGGUAGCUCCCUGGUCCCUUGUCUCCCCGCGGCUGCCGGUGACAGGAGCCGAGGAAGCAGUGUGGGGCAGCCAAGGCGAUGGGAAAACCAGAUGGUCCUAAACCUCCUCCUCCCUCCUCCUCCACCUACCCACCCAACCAUCCAUCCAUCCAUCCAUCCAUCCUAUUCCAUCCCUCUCCCUCCAAGCCCGCGGCCUGGCCGCCUUCCGCAGGGACCUGGCCGGGAUCACUCCGGGGAAAGGACUGCCUUUGUCUAAAGGUCACCACCCGGAGCGCGGUGCCCGGGCUGGGCCUGGUGCCUCCCAUUCCUAGGCCCACGGAGUUGGAGUUCAGGGGCCGCCCCAAAUCCCAGAAGGGACGAUGGAGAGGGGAGACCCAGUGGCCUGCAUCCCAGUUCAUCUCUUCCUACAAGCCUGCAGAGGACCCCCGAUUCUCCCUGGCACCCCCCAAGAGGAACUUGGGGAGGGGGCGCACGGGACGCGCGACAGGAGGGGAGAUGGAUCGAGCUGCCUUUCUGUGGCCCUUGGCUCUCCCCAGAAAAGGCGGGGAGCACGAGGAAGGGAGGGGGGUCCCCAAGGCGGGCGGGGGGUCCCCGCCCCUCCCCCCCGUGGGACGUUCACGCUCGCCCCUCUCCUCCGUUGCAUUGUAUCCCGGGAAGGACCAGGGAGGGAACCGGGGCGCAAGGUUUGAGAUCGGGGAGCAAUGAAGGGGGAGCUCUCUGCAAGAUCGGGGUGGCGGCGGUGGCGCGAGAGACCUGGGAUGGGGGUGUGCGGAUAGUGGUGGGCGCUGAUCACAAAAAAAAAAAAAAAAAAAAAAAAUCCAGCCUGAGCAGCGGCAGCAGGCGCUGCGCCCCGGUUGGGGGGCUGAGGGUGGAGCGGUCGGGGGGGGGGGGGCGGCCCCCCCCCCCGCCCCCCCCCCCCCAACACACACACCCCCGCCCCCGAGCCCCACUCCCCCCCUCGCUUUUGCGCCCUGUCACAGCCCCGACUCGCAGGUAGAGAGAGUUAAGAGAUUUAAAGAGAAAUUGCUACAUUGUGAGAAACUCACCCUGAUGUUUGAGCAGCCGUCGGCGCGGGGUCUCCGGGACGGCCCCGCACGGGCUGCACAGGGAGGACCCAGAAGGGGCCGGCCGGCCGGGCCGGUCAGCGCACUGCCUGAUCGCAUGGCGGGCCCCGGCUCCGCUGCGCCCGGGCCCGCCGCCGCCCUUGCAACGAAGCGGCCCCGCG
rnacentral:lncRNA from 1 species